rnacentral:rRNA from 1 species
GAUGAACGCUCGCUACAGGCUUAACACAUGCAAGUCGCGGGGCAGCAUGGGGGUUGCUUGCAAUCCCCGAUGGCGACCGGCGCACGGGUGAGUAACGCGUAUCCAACCUGCCCUUCACCACGGGAUAACCCGGCGAAAGUCGGACUAAUACCGUAUGUUGUCCAUUGACGGCAUCCGAUUUGGACGAAAGGUUUGGCGGUGAAGGAUGGGGAUGCGUCCGAUUAGCUGGACGGCGGGGUGACGGCCCACCGUGGCGACGAUCGGUAGGGGUUCUGAGAGGAAGGUCCCCCACACUGGAACUGAGACACGGUCCAGACUCCUACGGGAGGCAGCAGUGAGGAAUAUUGGUCAAUGGGCGUAAGCCUGAACCAGCCAAGUAGCGUGCAGGAUGACGGCCCUAUGGGUUGUAAACUGCUUUUAUGCGGGGAUAAAGUGGCCCACGUGUGGGUUUUUGCAGGUACCGCAUGAAUAAGAACCGGCUAAUUCCGUG